rnacentral:tRNA from 1 species
AAAGUGUUAUUUUAAAUAAAAUAUAGACCUUCAAAGUCUAAGAAGAGAUAUUUUCUCACACUUUG